CGGGCAGGCGGUCCGUUAAGUCCCCUGUGAAACUCCGAGGCUCAACUUCGGACAUGCAGGAGAUACUGGCGGACUAGAGAUCGGUAGAGGCAGGCGGAAUUCCUAGUGUAGCGGUGGAAUGCGUAGAUAUUAGGAAGAACACCUGUGGCGAAGGCGGCCUGCUGGGCCGAUUCUGACGCUGAUCCGCGAAAGCGUGGGGAGCAAACA
rnacentral:rRNA from 1 species